AUAGAAUUUGGAUUUUUCUUCUUCAUAGAGUUUUGGGAAGACUGAGGCAAUCGCUGCUGAAGUCAGUGUUGUAAUGGUGAAUCGAGAUUUUUAAAUGAAGUGGGUUUGAAUACUCUUGACUGUUUUGUAAAAUCGAGUUACGUCUGUGAUUGAAGGAUUAAAGGGGUGUCUAUAGGAUUGAGUAUGCGGAGUGAAUGAAAUUUAUUGGGUUAAUCUAACAGGACAGUCAGUGGAUACAAGAUC
rnacentral:lncRNA from 1 species